rnacentral:rRNA from 1 species
AUUGAACGCUGGCGGCAGGCCUAACACAUGCAAGUCGAACGGAUCCUUCGGGAUUAGUGGCGGACGGGUGAGUAACGCGUGGGAACAUACCCAAAGGUACGGAAUAGCCUCGGGAAACUGGGAGUAAUACCGUAUGUGCUCGAAAGAGGAAAGAUUUAUCGCCUUUGGAUUGGCCCGCGUUGGAUUAGGUAGUUGGUGGGGUAAUGGCCUACCAAGCCGACGAUCCAUAGCUGGUUUGAGAGGAUGAUCAGCCACACCGGGACUGAGACACGGCCCAGACUCCUACGGGAGGCAGCAGUGGGGAAUCUUAGACAAUGGGGGAAACCCUGAUCUAGCCAUGCCGCGUGAUCGAUGAAGGCCUUAGGGUUGUAAAGAUCUUUCAGGUGGGAAGAUAAUGACUGUGCCACCAGAAGAAGCCCCGGCUAACUCCGUGCCAGCCGCCGCCGUAA